CCUACGGGAGGCAGCAGUGGGGAAUCUUGCGCAAUGGACGAAAGUCUGACGCAGCCAUGCCGCGUGAAUGAUGAAGGUCUUAGGAUUGUAAAGUUCUUUAGCCUGUGACGAUGAUGACGGUAACAGGAGAAUAAGCCCCGGCUAACUUCGUGCCAGCAGCCGCGGUAAUACGAAGGGGGCUAGCGUUGUUCGGAAUUACUGGGCGUAAAGCGCGCGUAGGCGGUUAUGCAAGCCAGAGGUGAAAUGCCUGAGCUCAACUUAGGAAUUGCCUUUGGAACUGCAUGGCUUUGAGGACGAGAGAGGUGAGUGGAAUUCCCAGUGUAGAGGUGAAAUUCGUAGAUAUUGGGAAGAACACCGGUGGCGAAGGCGGCUCACUGGCUCGUUUCUGACGCUGUAGCGCGAAAGCGUGGGGAUCAAACAGGAUUAGAUACCCUGGUAGUCCACGCUGUAACGAUAGAGUGCGUAGGUCGGUUGGUCGACGCUUGUCGUGUCAGUGCGCNGCGUACGCGUGAGCGACNCCGCCGNGGGUAAGGUACGGUCGCGAGAGUUAAACGUUACAANAGAGUUGACGGCGNGAGACGNGCCGACGGACGACGACGAGGGAGGAGG
rnacentral:rRNA from 1 species